CGCUCAGCAUCAAAAUCGGGGCCCGCGGGCCUGAGUUGUAGUCUCUGGAGGUGCUACCAAGAGAGGCGCUGCUGUACGUCUUUUGGAAACGAGCAUCGACGAGGGUGAGGGUCCCGUUUGUCAGCAGCAGCCAACUGUGCACGGUGCACAUUCUAAGAGUCACGUUCCUUGGGAUUGGAGCGCAAUGUGGGUGGUAAGCUUCAUCUCAAGCUACACAUGGGCUCGAGACCGAUAGCAAACAAGUACUAUGAGGGAAAGGUGAAAAGCACUUUGAAAAGAAAGGUAAAGUACCUGAAAUCGCUGAAGAGGAAGUGAGCGAAGCCAGUAUGUCUUGGCGAGAUUGCUGCACACGCGUGCCAGUGCUUGCUGCGCCAGCACUUGUGUGGCAUUAAGCCCCGAGCAAGUCCUGCGCAGUGCUUCUUGCCUUGCCCACCAACGGCUCUCCAUGCUUGAGGACGCUUUCAAGGACACGGUAGCUGCACCCCAUGAA
rnacentral:rRNA from 1 species